CACGUAGGGCGCAAGCGUUGUCCGGAAUUAUUGGGCGUAAAGAGCUCGUAGGCGGUCUGUUACGUCUGCUGUGAAAACCCUGGGCUUAACCCUGGGCUUGCAGUGGAUACGGGCAGACUAGAGGCAGGUAGGGAGAAUGGAAUUCCCGGUGUAGCGGUGAAAUGCGCAGAUAUCAGGAGGAACACCGGUGGCGAAGGCGGCAUCCUGGACCGACACUGACGCUGAGGAGCGAAAGCCAGGGAGCAAACGGG
rnacentral:rRNA from 1 species